rnacentral:rRNA from 1 species
UACAGAGGUCUCAAGCGUUGUUCGGAUUCAUUGGGCGUAAAGGGUGCGUAGGCGGCGCGGUAAGUCGGGUGUGAAAUCUCGGAGCUUAACUCCGAAACUGCAUUCGAUACUGCCGUGCUUGAGGACUGGAGAGGAGACUGGAAUUUACGGUGGUAGCGGUGAAAUGCGUAGAUAAUCGUAAGGAAGACCAGUGGCGAAGGCGGGUCUCUGGACAGUUCCUGACGCUGAGGCACGAAGGCCAGGGGAGCAAACGGG